rnacentral:rRNA from 1 species
CGUGAGUAACCUGCCCUUGACUCUGGGAUAAGCCUGGGAAACUGGGUCUAAUACUGGAUAUGACCUCCUGUCGCAUGGUGGGGGGUGGAAAGGGUUUGUACUGGUUGUGGAUGGGCUCACGGCCUAUCAGCUUGUUGGUGGGGUAAUGGCCUACCAAGGCGACGACGGGUAGCCGGCCUGAGAGGGUGACCGGCCACACUGGGACUGAGACACGGCCCAGACUCCUACGGGAGGCAGCAGUGGGGAAUAUUGCACAAUGGGCGCAAGCCUGAUGCAGCGACGCCGCGUGAGGGAUGACGGCCUUCGGGUUGUAAACCUCUUUCAGCACGGAAGAAGCGAAAGUGACGGUACGUGCAGAAGAAGCGCCGGCUAACUACGUGCCAGCAGCCGCGGUAAUACGUAGGGCGCAAGCGUUGUCCGGAAUUAUUGGGCGUAAAGAGCUCGUAGGCGGUUUGUCGCGUCUGCUGUGAAAGCCCGGGGCUUAACCCCGGGUGUGCAGUGGGUACGGGCAGACUUGAGUGCAGUAGGGGAGACUGGAACUCCUGGUGUAGCGGUGAAAUGCGCAGAUAUCAGGAAGAACACCGAUGGCGAAGGCAGGUCUCUGGGCUGUUACUGACGCUGAGGAGCGAAAGCAUGGGGAGCGAACAGGAUUAGAUACCCUGGUAGUCCAUGCCGUAAACGUUGGGCACUAGGUGUGGGGGACAUUCCACGUUUUCCGCGCCGUAUCUCACGCAUUAAGUG